rnacentral:rRNA from 1 species
UACGUAGGGGGCAAGCGUUGUCCGGAAUCAUUGGGCGUAAAGAGCGUGUAGGCGGUCCGAUAAGUCCGCUCUGAAAGUCCGGGGCUCAACCCCGGGAGGCGGGCGGAUACUGUCGGGCUAGAGUCCGGAAGAGGCAAGUGGAAUUCCUGGUGUAGCGGUGAAAUGCGCAGAUAUCAGGAGGAACACCGGUGGCGAAGGCGGUUCUCUGGGCAUGAUCUGACGCUGAGGAGCGAAAGUGUGGGGAGCGAACAGG